rnacentral:lncRNA from 1 species
ACUUACUCUCUCGAUAAAACUCUCUCCCGGACCUAUGCUGAACUUCUAGAGCAUGCGUAUAAGUAUAUUUGCACGGACGAAGCUGCUUCUGACUGAUGCCUAACAGAUGAAAAAGGUCAAAAGAAUAAAUAAAAGAAAAGUAAAGCUCCAAGCGAAUCAAGUAGGUCGACUGUCAAUAAGCAAGCUUCAUCUCGAAGACGGAGUCCGAAAUCGAACUAUGAUAGGUGUGACUCCUAUACUCCUCUUUCUGCUCUUCAUGCAC